ACGAACGCUGGCGGCGUGCCUAACACAUGCAAGUCGAGCGGAGACAGUGAGUAGCUUGCUAUGAACUGUUUUAGCGGCGGACGGGUGAGUAACGCGUGAGCAACCUUUCCCAGACAGGGGAAUAACACACCGAAAGGUGUACUAAUACCGCAUAAGACCACGGAAUCACAUGGUUCUGAGGUAAAAGAUUUAUCGGUUUGGGGUGGGCUCGCGUCCGAUUAGGUAGUUGGUGAGGUAACGGCCCACCAAGCCGACGAUCGGUAGCCGACCUGAGAGGGUGAUCGGCCACAUUGGGACUGAGACACGGCCCAAACUCCUACGGGAGGCAGCAGUGGGGAAUAUUGGGCAAUGGGGGGAACCCUGACCCAGCAACGCCGCGUGGAGGAAGAAGGUUUUCGGAUCGUAAACUCCUGUCCUUGGAGACGAGUAGAAGACGGUAUCCAAGGAGGAAGCCCCGGCUAACUACGUGCCAGCAGCCGCGGUAAUACGUAGGGGGCAAGCGUUGUCCGGAAUAAUUGGGCGUAAAGGGCGCGUAGGCGGCUCGGUAAGUCUGGAGUGAAAGUCCUGCUUUUAAGGUGGGAAUUGCUUUGGAUACUGUCGGGCUUGAGUGCAGGAGAGGUUAGUGGAAUUCCCAGUGUAGCGGUGAAAUGCGUAGAGAUUGGGAGGAACACCAGUGGCGAAGGCGACUAACUGGACUGUAACUGACGCUGAGGCGCGAAAGUGUGGGGAGCAAACAGGAUUAGAUACCCUGGUAGUCCACGCCGUAAACGAUGAGUGCUAAGUGUUGGAGGGUUUCCGCCCUUGAGUGCUGCAGCAAACGCAUUAAGCACUCCGCCUGGGGAGUACGACCGCAAGGUUGAAACUCAAAGGAAUUGACGGGGGCCCGCACAAGCAGUGGAGUAUGUGGUUUAAUUCGAAGCAACGCGAAGAACCUUACCAGGUCUUGACAUCCUACUAACGAGAUAGAGAUAUGUUAGGUGCCCUUCGGGGAAAGUAGAGACAGGUGGUGCAUGGUUGUCGUCAGCUCGUGUCGUGAGAUGUUGGGUUAAGUCCCGCAACGAGCGCAACCCUUAUCUUCAGUUACUAACGCGUGAGGGUGAGGACUCUGAAGAGACUGCCGGGGACAACUCGGAGGAAGGUGGGGACGACGUCAAAUCAUCAUGCCCCUUAUGACCUGGGCUACACACGUGCUACAAUGGCCACGACAGAGAGAAGCGAAAUCGUAAGGUAGAGCGGAACUCAAAAAAGUGGUCCCAGUUCGGAUUGUGGGCUGCAACCCGCCCACAUGAAGUCGGAGUUGCUAGUAAUCGCGGAUCAGCAUGCCGCGGUGAAUACGUUCCCGGGCCUUGUACACACCGCCCGUCACACCAUGAGAGCCGGGGGGACCCGAAGUCGGUAGUCUAACCGCAAGGAGGACGCCGCCGAAGGUAAAACUGGUGAUUGGGGUG
rnacentral:rRNA from 1 species